GACGAACGCUGGCGGCGUGCUUAACACAUGCAAGUCGAACGGUAAGGCCCUUCGGGGUACACGAGUGGCGAACGGGUGAGUAACACGUGGGUGACCUGCCCUGCACUUCGGGAUAAGCCUGGGAAACUGGGUCUAAUACCGGAUAGGACCCUGGGAUGCAUGUCCUGGGGUGGAAAGCUUUUGCGGUGUGGGAUGGGCCCGCGGCCGAUCAGCUUGUUGGUGGGGUGAUGGCCUACCAAGGCGACGACGGGUAGCCGGCCUGAGAGGGUGACCGGUCACACUGGGACUGAGAUACGGCCCAGACUCCUACGGGAGGCAGCAGUGGGGAAUAUUGCACAAUGGGCGCAAGCCUGAUGCAGCGACGCCGCGUGAGGGAUGACGGCCUUCGGGUUGUAAACCUCUUUCAGCUAUGACGAAGCGCAAGUGACGGUAGUAGCAGAAGAAGGACCGGCCAACUACGUGCCAGCAGCCGCCGUAA
rnacentral:rRNA from 1 species